rnacentral:rRNA from 1 species
UACGUAGGGUGCGAGCGUUAAUCGGAAUUACUGGGCGUAAAGCGUGCGCAGGCGGUUUUGUAAGCCAGAUGUGAAAUCCCCGGGCUUAACCUGGGAAUGGCAUUCGGGACUGCAAGGCUGGAGUGCGGCAGAGGAGACUGGAAUUCCUGGUGUAGCAGUGAAAUGCGUAGAUAUCGGAAGGAACACCGGUGGCGAAGGCGGAUGCCUGGCCCAAUACUGACGCUGAGGCACGAAAGCGUGGGUAGCGAACAGG